CCGAUAUAACGACACCGACUUCUUCUCGUUCACUUUUUGGAGCAGCUACAGGAGCGUGAGGACUAAGCUUACUGCGAUGAGAUUGGUGUAUUUCUUGCUAACAGGAAGGCGUUGAACUGCAUCUGAGGACUUAAAGGCAGCAAAACUGUUUACUAAAGAUUACGAAGGGGCGUCGAGAAACUGCGGCCCUUAGGGGCCGGCGAUGUGGUACUAUCUACGCCAGUUCGGAUCCCUAUACAGCGAAGAAAACGCCUGGAUUGUCCGGUGGCAGUAACAUGACUUCUGAAAGUCCUCCUCCUGGAUCCUCUUCAGGACCAGCGCACUCAGCGGAACAUGCUUUCAAAGAACUACCUUCUCUACCAAUGCAGAUCGUGUUCCCAUCUUUUGAUGCGAAGCAGAAGCGCUGUCGAUUCGUUGAAGAAAAUUGCAAAGCAUCAUCCAGAUGUUAGGAUUGAAGUGUUAGCAGACGAUGGUUUCUUCUACCUUGGCCAUGAAGACUACAUCAUCUGCUUCAAGUGCAAGCUGUGUCUGAGAGAGUGGAUGGACGAAGACGAUGCAGCCUUUCAACAUGCACUUUAUGACCCUGUGUGCUCCAGUUUGUUGUCUAGCAGGGGGGACACCUUCGUUAUGGAGGUCAGGCAAAGUAUCAGAGUGACCUGCCAAUGAACGACCAUCAACCCUCAAACACAGACACCACAGAAGAACGAUGACUUUAAUUUGAACUUCCAGAAGUGAAGACAUGUCAUGAGAUGGCAGAAAACAUUUCUGUCUCGGCUAGUGAUCCUUUGAAACGAUUAUCAUGGUUCUUCCUCCAAAGUGGACAGACUUUUCUGUAUUUUUCCUUACAAUGAAUGAAAUUGGGCUGACCAAGGGUUUAGUAUCUGCUGCCACCUAGUGCCUUCCUAAGAGAGGUUUAGGUCAAUUAUUACUAAUGUAGUCUUUGAUGCCUACAAGUACUGAGGGCCAGAAUGAUCUUCUCUAGUUCCAAAGUUACAACAUUUAAUUUAUUUUUGGAUUCUUUUGGAAAUUUUCAUUAUUGUCAUAGUCAUCAUCACGAACAUCACCUUAACCUCCUCCUCCUCCUCCUCCUCCUCCUCCUCCUCCUCCUCCUCCUCCUCAUCAUCAUCAUCAUCAUCAUCAUCAUCGUCGUCGUCGUCGUCGUCGUCUCUUUUCUAUAUCUCUUUUUACAUUUUUCUGCGUUUAUAAAUUUUCCAUUGUGUAGAAUUUCCCAUGAGAAUCUUCCUCAUGAUCACGGGUGAAUCACAAUCAAAGCUGGAGUUUCAGUUUUAAUGGAAAUUUCAGUGUUGUUGCGUGCAACGCCUUUCUAAGGGGUUUAACUGUUCUAUAUUUUUUUUCUGCUCUAUAUUUUUCUUAGCUUGCUCGUGGUCUGAAAUAUCUUUUGGCAAACAGCUCUGUGAGUUAAUGAAGAACAAUCUGAACAGCACACGCGCAUGAACGCCGUUCUGAACCUGUUCACAAACAAUUGUUUUAACCAUUGCUACACUGAAAGGUUCUCCAGCUUCUUGUUGUGCAAAACUUGCUCCGCAACAUCCAGUGCAAAGCAAACCCUUCAGUCAUUCAGCCUCCUGCUUCUCUGGUCUAAUAGUCUCUCAGGUUCUUCACAGCGUCCACCAUUUAAAUUAUUUCACAUCAGGCCUUAUGUUUUCACAUAUAAUAAUGUAAAUAUGGUAAUAUAUGUUUAUUUAGUUGUUCAUUACCGGUUUAAUAUUGAGUUGCUCCAAACUCAUGAGACUUCAGUUUGGCAUCGAUCACUAAUAGCUAAUGUCUUUAUUAUUAAAAUGUCACAAUGGAAAAUAGCAUAUUUUAAUUGCAAUCGUUCACUUGUCUUUGUCACUGCUGUUGAUUUCACAUGUGAAGCAGAUAAAGUCUGCUUCCUUGAAUAUUGACAACCAUAACUCCGAUGAUUUCAGCAAUAAAUCGAAAUAUGACACCACCACGACAUAUGUGUAACUAGUCGAAGUGAUAUGCAGGUUUAUCCAUCCGAGAUAAAUAAUAAUCUUAUCUUAUAUAACAGAACCUUACUGUGUGAAAUUUGACAGUAAGCGUUUGUUGAAGAUUGUUUUCGACCUAAGAAACAAAGAAAAAACGAUGAUGUUUUGAACACAAACAAUACAUCCCCAUAACCAUAAUUCUUCCUUCAUCUUUAACUCAAUACUAAAUUAAAAAAAUUAACUGUGCCUAUAAUUAUUACAAGGAAACUGACUUCACCUCUCACACACUAUUGACCAAACAAUAAAACAAUCUGCUAAUAAUAUUUUCCUCAAGUCGUGCGGGAUCCUUGUAAAGGACUUGACAACAGAUGAAGGAAAUACACAGGACAAUGGCGACCAGACUACAACAUUCACUAUGGGCUAGAGAGCGAAUACCGUGACAGUGUUCAGCCCAGUGCAUGACACUACAACACAACAGGAAGAAUGAUUCAAAAGGUGACAAAUGAGUGACAUUCCCUUAAAAAAAAACACACACACACACAGAGGAGAACUGCAAAUUUAGGCUCAGGCCCUUUGCUGUGGAUGUGUAUUAUCGGGUAUUCCUCAAUGAGGAAAUUGCAGAUGGCGAGUUCUUAUCGCUCGAUUGAGAUUAAUAGUUUAGUGAGAAUCUUAUUAAACCAUUGUGAAUAGCUAAAAAACUGAUAUCCACAAGUCUAGAAAUAGAACUAGUCAAGCCAAGAUCCUGGGAUGAAACUGGAAUCACAGCCACACACAAGGCUUGUCUACGACCAGUCUCCAAACAGGCGUGGUCAUUCAAGUCUGCCCUUCGUCACCACCAUCACCGUGAGCAAGAGAAAAAGCCAGCUCUGACAAAUUACACACAAACACACAUAGGAAGUUGAUGCAAUCGUGCAUUUUCUCUUCUUUUCUCCUCACAACUUCUAAUCACAGCCAUAGAGACAAAUCACAGUUCUGCCUGUCUAGAACAACCAGAUUAAGAGACUUACAGUCGUCACACAAAAGUGCUGUAUAAUCACUG